AUGCGGAGGGUGCAAGCGUUAUUCGGAAUCACUGGGCGUAAAGGACGCGUAGGCGGGUUGGCAAGUCAGAUGUGAAAUCCUACAGCUUAACUGUAGAACUGCAUUUGAAACUGCUAACCUAGAGUAUGGGAGGGGGAGAUGGAAUUAGUGGUGUAGGGGUAAAAUCCGUAGAUAUCACUAGGAAUACCGAAAGCGAAGGCGAUCUCCUGGAACAUAACUGACGCUAAGGCGUGAAAGCGUGGGGAGCAAACAGAAUUAGAAACCCUAGUAGUCC
rnacentral:rRNA from 1 species